CGUAUGGUUAGGAGACAGAGAGACACUUGGCUGAGGAGACAAAAGAACGAACUAGAGACAUUUUUGGGCAACGGAUUAAGCCAAAAAACUAAGGUCAUUUCCAGAUACAUAAGAACCUAGUGGAAACAGAUUCUGCAGAACAUCAUUUUCAAGAACAACAGUAUGGGAAAUGAGCCACCAGGAGAUGGUGGUGGAGGAGGAGCGUUGACCAGACCGGCGUUGACCAGACAAGGUUCGAUAUACUCGUUGACAUUCGAUGAGUUUCAGAGCAGUUUAGGUAAAGAUUUUGGGUCAAUGAACAUGGAUGAGUUGUUAAAGAACAUAUGGAGUGCUGAAGAAACACAAGCCAUGGCUAUGGCUGCUUCAACUAGUAGUAUGAUUCCAGUUCCUGGAGGCCAAGAGGGUUUGCAGUUGCAGAGGCAAGGCUCGUUGACUCUGCCUCGAACGCUAAGCACGAAAACAGUUGAUCAAGUGUGGAAAGAUCUCUCCAAAGAUUGGAACAGUGUAGGAGGAACAAGCUUGUCUCAGUCUCAGAGUCAGAAUCAGAGUCAGAGUCAGAGUCAGAGUCAGAGUCAGAGGCAGCAAACUUUAGGUGAAGUAACUCUUGAGGAGUUCUUGGUACGUGCUGGUGUUGUGAGAGAGGAAGCUCAGGUUGCUGCAAAAGAUAAAGAUGGUUACUUUGGUAACGAUGCUAACGCUGGUUUCUCUGUCCAGGCUUCUCCGCGGGUUGUUCCCGGUUUAAUGGAGAAUCUUGGUGUAGAGACUGCAAAUCAUUUGCAGGUUCAAGGUUCUAGUUUGCCUCUGAAUGUAAAUGGAGCUAGAUCAACAUACCAGCAACAACCAAUCUUGCCUAAGCAACCUGGUUUUGGUUACGGAACACAAAUUGCUCAGCUUAAUAGUCCUGUGGUAAGAGGUGGUCUUAUGGGACUUGGAGAUCAGCCUCUAACGAAUAAUAUGGGCUUUGUCCAAGGUGUUGGUGCUGUGUCUCCUGUUACGCCAUUGUCAUCAGACGGGAUAGGGAAGAAUAACGGUGAUUCUUCAUCGCUCUCUCCGUCUCCUUACAUGUUUAAUGGUGGUGUGAGAGGUAGAAAGAGUGGUGGCACUGUGGAGAAAGUUGUUGAGAGAAGGCAAAGGAGAAUGAUAAAGAACCGAGAAUCAGCUGCGAGGUCACGGGCCAGGAAACAGAUGUUCACGGCAGACCAGACCAUAUACUGGAAUGUAAUUUGCUAAAGUCUCGAGGUGGCUCAGAGGUUGUAUUGACUCCAUUUCAUCAAGAAGUUGUAGUGACUCUAUUUACUGUGACCGACCUGUUGAGUUCUACAUGUUUUGAAUGGCACUCUAGUAUAUCUCAUUACCUUCUCAGUAGUGCUUAUUUUGGUUUCUAGGCUUAUACCGUGGAGCUUGAAGCUGAAAUUGCAAAGUUAAAGGAAGAGAAUGAUGAGUUGCAACGAAAACAGGCAAAGAUUAUAGAAAUGCAAAAGAAUCAGGAGAUGGAGAUGAGGAAUCUUGAAGGUGGUCCAAAGAAAAGGCUGAGGAGGACAGAGUCAGGACCUUGGUGAAUCAUACUUAGCUUCUGUAGAUAAAUUAUCCCACUUAGGUGUUUAGUUUGAAGUCUGAGAAGAGAAAAGAGCUUUCAUGGUUUGUAUUGUUAGCUCUCUCCAUAUAUGUGUUCUCUUAUGCGUUAUACAGACACGGGAUCAUCAGAAUCUUUUUACUUUAACUAGACCAAGAUGCUCUUUGAUAUG